UGGCGGAGCUAACGCGUUAAAUGCGCCGCCUGGGGAGUACGGCCGCAAGGUUAAAACUCAAAGAAAUUGACGGGGGCCUGCACAAGCGGUGGAGUAUGUGGCUUAAUUCGAUGCAACGCGAAGAACCUUACCUGGCCUUGACAUGCAGAUAGUAGGAGCCUGAAAGGGUGACGAUCCCGCAAGGGAAGUUUGCACAGGUGCUGCGUGGCUGUCGUCAGCUCGUGUCGUGAGAUGUUGGGUUAAGUCCCGCAACGAGCGCAACCCCUGUGUCCUGUUGCCACCGGAACGCAAGUUCCGAGCACUCUGGACAGACUGCCCCAUCCAAAUGGGGAGGAAGGUGGGGAUGACGUCAAGUCAGUAUGGCCCCUACGGCCAGGGCUGCACACGUACUACAAUGCCCGGUACAAAGGGAAGCAAGGCGGCAACGCGGAGCAAAUCCCAAAAACCGGGCCCAGUUCAGAUUGUCGGCUGCAACUCGCCGGCAUGAAGCUGGAAUCGCUAGUAAUGGCGCAUCAGCUACGGCGCCGUGAAUACGUUCCCAGGCCUUGUACACACCGCCCGUCACAUCAUGAAAGCCGGCUGUACCCGAAGUCGCCGUGC
rnacentral:rRNA from 1 species